CAGUGGGGAAUAUUGGACAAUGGGCGCAAGCCUGAUCCAGCCAUACCGCGUGGGUGAAGAAGGCCUUCGGGUUGUAAAGCCCUUUUGUUGGGAAAGAAAUCCAGCCGGCUAAUACCUGGUUGGGAUGACGGUACCCAAAGAAUAAGCACCGGCUAACUUCGUGCCAGCAGCCGCGGUAAUACGAAGGGUGCAAGCGUUACUCGGAAUUACUGGGCGUAAAGCGUGCGUAGGUGGUUGUUUAAGUCUGUUGUGAAAGCCCUGGGCUCAACCUGGGAACUGCAGUGGAAACUGGACAACUAGAGUGUGGUAGAGGGUAGCGGAAUUCCCGGUGUAGCAGUGAAAUGCGUAGAGAUCGGGAGGAACAUCCAUGGCGAAGGCAGCUACCUGGACCAAC
rnacentral:rRNA from 1 species